CACGUAGGGCGCAAGCGUUGUCCGGAAUUAUUGGGCGUAAAGAGCUCGUAGGCGGCCUGUUGCGUCCGCUGUGAAAGCCCGGGGCUUAACCCCCGGGUCUGCAGUGGAUACGGGCAGGCUAGAGGUAGGUAGGGGAGAAUGGAAUUCCCGGUGUAGCGGUGAAAUGCGCAGAUAUCGGGAGGAACACCGGUGGCGAAGGCGGUUCUCUGGGCCUUACCUGACACUGAGGAGCGAAAGCGUGGGGAG
rnacentral:rRNA from 1 species